AGAACCCUACCUAGCAUGAGAGCUGAGGACAGAAUGGCAGCAGGAGUGCAGCCCUGCAUGCAAGGGUAAGCCAGCCUCAGAGAGAGGGAGGUAGACUGUGAAUCACUGUGCAGAGGACUGAGUAUUCAGCUUUCUACCUGAACAUUGAUUUCCUCUGCCAACUCCCUCCGCACUCCAUGGACCUUCCCUUGUCACAAAGUGAAACAGCUGAGCAAAGCUGAUAUUGCAACCCUGUCUGCACCUUAUACUACAUUCUGAAUUUGAGCCUUCUACUUCUUGUUGAGAAGUAUAUGCUUCAUCAUUUCUACUUUAGGGCCUAGAUUUGUUGUUAUAUUAAAAUUUUACUACUUUUUAGGGUUGAUUUGGUUGAUGUUACUGUAAUCAUUGUUUAUAUUGUUUGAAUGGGCCUGGUUAUUUUGCUUUGUAUCAGUUCUAAAGUCUUUUCUCUAACCUCAUAUUUGUCAUUUCUUAUAGCACAUUACACUUUUUGCAUUAAUGUGUGCAAUUUGUUCAACAAUUCCCCAGACAAUAGAUAUCUAAUUGUUUCUAGAUUAUAGCCUUCUCUCCCUCCCAAUGCUGCUAUGACUAUUUUGGCACAUGGGGGUACUUUCUAUCUUCAAGAUCUUUUAGUGGGAUUGUUGAAUCAAAGGGUAUGAACAGUUCUGUGAGUUUUCUCAAGUUAUUUCAAAUUAUUUUCCAGAAUGGCUAGACCACUUUGGAUGUGACAAAUAUUGCAGAAGUAGAAACAAAUUGCCCACUAUAGAUGGGGGAUGAAAAUGAAAUAUCAGAGAAGACUCCCAAGAUAAACUCUGUGUGUGACUUGGAAAUUGGUGCUAACAUAAACAGGGAUAUUAGGAAGGAUGCUUUUUUUUUGGGGGGGGGGGGAUGAUGAUAAGUUAUGUUUGAAGGUUUUGAGUUUGAAGUGCUACUUUGUCUAGUAGUCCAGAAUUUUAAUCUGAAACUUGGAAAAGGCUAGCCUAGCAAUUUGGAACUAUGCCCAAAGGCUUCUUUACAGAGAUGGAAACUAUGGAAAUAGAACAGUUUCUAUAAUGUCAGACUUUUUCAGUAUGUUGGUUAGUCAUGCCAGACAUUUUUUCUUCCACAUUCUUUUUUUCUUUACUAUGAAGGAUGGUUUUCUGGGAGGACCUCAAAGAAGCAUAAAUUAGGAAAUACCAUUCAGUAAACUCAGCAUACUCAAAAAGUACCUUUCUCCAAUUCUUCUUUUGUGAAUUUUAAAAUCUCCAUCUUGCUUGGCCUAGCACCCAAAAUUGUGCACACCCACACUACACGGGCACGUGCUAGUCAAUGACAAAUCAGAAAUAACUAACUGCCCACCUGGGUGCUAAAAGACUGUCUUUCCUUUGAUCCAGCCAUACCACUGCUGGGAUUAUACCCCAAAGAGAUAAUAAGGGAAAAGACUUGUACAGAAAUAUUCAUAGCUGCACUCUUUAUGGUGGCAAAAAAUUGGAAAAUGAGGGGAUGCCUUUUGAUUGGGGAAUGGCUGAACAAAUUGUGGUAUCUGUUGGUGAUGGAAUACUAUUGUGCUCAAAGGAAUAAUGAACUGGAGGAAUUCCAUGUGAACUGGAAUGACCUCCAGGAAUUGAUGCAGAGUGAGAGGAACAGAACCAGGAGAACAUUGUACGCAGAAAUGGAUACACUGUGGCACUUCUCUCUUAGUAGCAAUGCAAUGAUCCAAGAUAAUUCUGAGGGACUUGUGAGAAAUAACACUAUCCACAUCCAGUGAAAGAACUGUGGGAGUAGAAACACAGAAGAAAAACAAUUGCUUGAUUACAUGGUUUGAUGGGGAUAUGAUUAGGGAUGUAGACUCUAAAUGAUCACUCUAGUGCAAAUAUUAAUAAUAUGGAAAUAGGUCUUGAUCACUGACACAUGUAAAAACCCAGUGGCUAUUGGAGGGGGGUGGGAGGAGGGGAGAGAAAGAACAUGAAUCAUGUAACCAUGGAAAAACAUCAUAAAUUAAUUAAUUAAAUAAAUAAACUUAAAAAAAAAAAGGCUAGCCUGGGAGUUAGGAGACUUGGGUUCUAGGUCUAGUGCUGCAACUAUUUCUCUAUGACCUGGAUACCAUUUCCUCUGAGUCUUAUCCUUUUUUAAAAGGAAAAAGUUGGAUAGGUUAAGAUCUUUUAAAAAUUCUUAUAUACAUGAAACUAUAAAUUAGGCUAACGUUUGCCCUUUGAAUGACUAACUUUGCCUUUCUUCUUUUUUCAAAAAACCUGUACCUUCUCUUUUAGAAUUAAUAGAAUCAGUUCCAAGGCAAGAGAGUGGUAUGAGCUAGGCAAUGGGGGUUAAGUUACUUGCUCAAGAUCACAAAGUGAUAAAGUGGUCAGAUUUAAACUAGAGCCUUCCAUCUUUAGGCCUGGCUCUCUAUCUACCAAAUCACCUAACUGCCCCCAAUUUUGCCUUUCUUAGCAGAUGAUAUUCUGGAGAUUUAUUGUAAAACUAGCCUCAUUAAUUUUUCCCCAUCCAGUGGGAUAGUAAUGAGCAAUAUAACCAGAGAAUUGUUUUAUGUGGGUGCAUUUUGAAUUCCUAAUAAUUCAAGGACUGGGAGGAGUUGGAUAGCUUCCCAGACAGUCUGCAAAAGAAUAUUAGGUCUUGUGGGCAGAACUUUGGUUUGAGAUCCACAGUAUGGUCUAAGGUGAUUCUAUUCCUCAGCAUCAGGUUAGGGUCACAGAGCAGUUUUGCUCAUUUCUUCUACUGAAUGCUAUGUUAUCAAGUAGGGGAAAAAGGAAAUAAGGUAUUGUGGGCAUCAAAGGUUUUGCAGAUCCAAGUCUAGACUCAGGAAUACUAAGUCCAAAAAGUCCAUGAACAUUUCCAAAUUAUGAUCUUAUUAAAAAUUGUCACACCAUUUAUCUGGGCACAAAGGCUUAUCUUAAGUUCCUGGAUAGUAAUUCUGUUUCACUUCCUACUAAAGAUCAGUUUUAUUUUCCUUCUGUGCUGCCAGCCACUUUUAGGGAGGCCUAAUAUAAGUUUAAAAACCAUUUUGAGUAUAACAAACCAUGUUAAAUUACAUAGUAGGUCAUGUUUUGGCUUGUGAUAAGACAAAGAUCAGGACUAACAAAAACCCUCUAGACCAGUAGUUCUCAACCUGUGGGUCGUGACCCCGGCGGGGGUCAAACGACCAAAACACAGGGGUCACCUAAAGCCAUCGGAAAAUACAUAUUUCUUUCUUUUUUUUUUCCUUUUAAACCCUUACCUUCUGUCUUGGAGUCAAUUGACUCUAAGGCAGAAGAGUGGUAAGGGCUAGGCAAUGGGGGUCAAGUGACUUGCCCAGGGUCACACAACUGGGAAGUGUCUGAGGUCAGAUUUGAACCUAGGACCUCCCGUCUCUAGGCCUGGAUCUCAAUCCACUGAGCUACCCAGCUGCCCCCGGAAAAUACAUAUUUCUGAUGGCAUUAGCCGUUGAGAAAUUACGCUACUUUACAGCAAGAUCUCGGAAAGAACGGGGACCCUGCUGCCUGCACAUUGUACUAAUAUUAGUUACCUAUCAGCAGCCCUCUCCCUAUGAGGGGCAAUGCAUUUACCCUGUUGCCUGGAGACCAGACUCAAAUAGAGACCCAGAGAGAGCACCCGGGCGCUGGCUCAGGAGGGGUUAAGAAUGAGUCCUGGAGUGGAUAACUCCUGGAGUGGAUAAUGGAACCGAGUAACCCCAGCAAAGUGAAGCCUCAGCUCGAGUUGGAGGGAGACGACAGGAAGAAGAAGGCAGCGUCUGCAGACCCCCUGCCAGGCAGGACUUACCUCCUGCCCCAGCGCUCAGGCUGCCUCUUGCUGGAUUAAUAUUUCUCAACAUAUAAUUAAAUAUUGUUUUUGUGAUUAAUUACUAUGUUUAAAUUAUGUUUGAUUUGUAGCAAUGAGAAUGCAUAUCAGGUAUUUACCUUCUGAAUGAUAACUAUAGCAAAAUUACAGUUUUGAAGUAGCCACCAAAAUAAUUUUUUGUUUUGGGGUUACUGCAACAUGAGGAACUGUAUUGCGGGAUCAUGGCAUUAGAAAGGUUGAGAACCACUGCUCUAGACUGUUCUGCAUAGUCAAAUGAGAAAAAGUAACUCUAAUUUCCUUAUCUCUCUAAGGACUAACUCAGAGAUGGAGAAUCUAGCUGACUGCUUAUUAUUCUCUGCUGAGCAGGAGAUAAGUGUUUCUGCUAUUUCUUUGAAGCAAACUCUCUUGACACUUCUGUGUAAGACCUCAAGAAAUUCUCUUUGGGAGCAGUUGGGUGGCUAAGUAGAGUUCCAGGUUUGGAAUCAGAAGGACCUGGAUUAAAAUCUGCCUCAGAUUUUUACUAGCUGUGUGACCUUGGGCAAAUCACUUAACCCCAAUUGCCUAGCCCAAUGAUGGCCAACCUAUGGCAUAGGUGCCAAAGAUUGCAUGCAGAGUGCUCUCUGUGGGCAUGUGUGCCACCCUCUCCCCCUCGCCCCAGAAUUCAUUACUAGGGAGGGACUUUGUGGAAAGACUUGGCAGAGCUGCUCCCCUUCCCCCCCUCUACCAUGGCUGACAACAUUUUUUUCAUAUUACCUGUCCUUCUGCUCAGCAGUCCAAUGGGAAUGCAUAGGGGGUAAGGUGGGAAGCUCACAGGUGACAGAGCUAGAACACUUGGGCACUCCUCUCUCCUUCUACAUUUGCCAAGGCAUUCCUCACUUUCUCCCUCCCCUGUGUAGGGUAAAGGGGUAAGUGGGGCCCACCAAGCAUUUGGUGGGGGUUAGGGGUAGAGCUUGGCACUCUGUCUCUAAAAAGUUCACCAUCACAGGCCUAAGCCAUAACACCCUUCUGUUUUAGAACUAACAUGUAUCAAUUCUAAGACAAGGUAAUAACUUAAAAAAAAUUCUCUUGGUCAGUUGUUUUUGGUGACUUGGUAACUCAUUUUUUUUUUUGCUUCUAAACUACGGCUUUUGAGGUUAUUGGGAAGGUAUCCUAUUCUGCCUUGGUAGUCAGGCAAUGGGAUGAAGGUGUGAACCAAACUUUUUGAUGUUGUUUCCUUUGCUAGAGAAUUAGCCAUUUUUUUGGGCCAGGCCAACUGCAAACACCCAAUGGGCUAGUUCAAUAUGUAGAGUAGAUGAUACUUCAAAUUUCAGACAUACUUUCAUCCACGAAGAAAAAACAAGGGAGAAGAAAUAAAAAAAACAAAAUUCCUUUGCUAGUAAACUAGUUUACUUUCUAGAGCUUUUUGCUUCUUUUCCAAGAAAACUAGUUAUUCCUUGAAUACAUUCAACAAAAUGCGUAACUGACCUUCAACUUCUUAAUACCUUCUCUAGGUGAGGAGACUCAUGCACACUUUGGGAGUCUUUUUCUUAGGGGUUUUAUCUGUCUGUGUUUUUGAGAGGGAAGAAUAGCAUGGACAUCCUGGUAUGUGGAUGAUUGAUAUAGUGCAAUUUCUGAAGAUAGUCAACAGGUGGCACUGUGACCCUGAACCUGGUUCUAUUCCUAAGUGGCAAAGCCUUGGCGUUCAGUGGGAAUCAGGGUAAGAGGGAACAUAGGUUUGGAAUGGUUUCUAUGUAAACGUCAGGUUCAUGUUUAACAUUUAACAUUCUGAAAUGUGCAUAAGAAACAUGAAACCUGAGAAAAAGGUAUCAGAUUUAGCAACUAGUGGGGCUCAAUGCUACAAAGUAAGUUCUAGAGGGAGAAAACAAAGCUCAAAGAUUUUUAAGCUCCUUAGGAAGCUGCACUCCAGAGAAUGUAACAGUUAUAAGUUGGCAAGAAAAAAAAAUUGAGUUACAAAAUAUUUAGUUGUAUUCUAGUCGGAAUCCCCUGGGGUUAAGCACAGGACUUCUUUUGAAAAACAGCUCAAAAUUGUUACAUUAAAGCAAGUUUUUCCUUGAAUGAAUUCUCUGAUGUACUUUAAAGACUUUGAUGUGAUUGAAGGCAUUCUUAUAUUCUUGUCACUCAAAGGAUUUUCCUCCACUUUGAAUGAUAAAGGGCUUGAAUUUUUUUUUGGGGGGUAUUUAAAUUUUUUUUUGUUCUGAACUUGACAAACGGUAACAAAUAUUUUCACAUAAAAAGAACAGAAAAAUAUUGUAUAUGAAACUAUGAAUUUCAUUAUGUGAAAUUCUAAAACUAUAUAUGUACACAUACAACAUUU